AGCGUCGGACGGGUGAGUAACACGUGGGUAACCUACCCAUAAGACUGGGAUAACUCCGGGAAACCGGGGCUAAUACCGGAUAACAUUUUGAACCGCAUGGUUCGAAAUUGAAAGGCGGCUUUGGCUGUCACUUAUGGAUGGACCCGCGUCGCAUUAGCUAGUUGGUGAGGUAACGGCUCACCAAGGCAACGAUGCGUAGCCGACCUGAGAGGGUGAUCGGCCACACUGGGACUGAGACACGGCCCAGACUCCUACGGGAGGCAGCAGUAGGGAAUCUUCCGCAAUGGACGAAAGUCUGACGGGGCAACGCCGCGUGAGUGAUGAAGGCUUUCGGGUCGUAAAACUCUGUUGUUAGGGAAGAACAAGUGCUAGUUGAAUAAGCUGGCACCUUGACGGUACCUAACCAGAAAGCCACGGCUAACUACGUGCCAGCAGCCGCGGUAAUACGUAGGUGGCAAGCGUUAUCCGGAAUUAUUGGGCGUAAAGCGCGCGCAGGUGGUUUCUUAAGUCUGAUGUGAAAGCCCACGGCUCAACCGUGGAGGGUCAUUGGAAACUGGGAGACUUGAGUGCAGAAGAGGAAAGUGGAAUUCCAUGUGUAGCGGUGAAAUGCGUAGAGAUAUGGAGGAACACCAGUGGCGAAGGCGACUUUCUGGUCUGUAACUGACACUGAGGCGCGAAAGCGUGGGGAGCAAACAGGAUUAGAUACCCUGGUAGUCCACGCCGUAAACGAUGAGUGCUAAGUGUUAGAGGGUUUCCGCCCUUUAGUGCUGAAGUUAACGCAUUAAGCACUCCGCCUGGGGAGUACGGCUGCAAGGCUGAAACUCAAAGGAAUUGACGGGGGCCCGCACAAGCGGUGGAGCAUGCGGUUUAAUUCGAAGCAACGCGAAGAACCUUACCAGGUCUUGACAUCCUCUGACAACCCUAGAGAUAGGGCUUCUCCUUCGGGAGCAGAGUGACAGGUGGUGCAUGGUUGUCGUCAGCUCGUGUCGUGAGAUGUUGGGUUAAGUCCCGCAACGAGCGCAACCCUUGAUCUUAGUUGCCAUCAUUUAGUUGGGCACUCUAAGGUGACUGCCGGUGACAAACCGGAGGAAGGUGGGGAUGACGUCAAAUCAUCAUGCCCCUUAUGACCUGGGCUACACACGUGCUACAA
rnacentral:rRNA from 1 species